CCUACGGGUGGCAGCAGUGAGGAAUAUUGGUCAAUGGACAAGAGUCUGAACCAGCCAAGUAGCGUGAAGGAUGACUGCCCUAUGGGUUGUAAACUUCUUUUAUAUGGGAAUAAAAUGUUCCACGUGUGGGAUUUUGUAUGUACCAUAUGAAUAAGGAUCGGCUAACUCCGUGCCAGCAGCCGCGGUAAUACGGAGGAUCCGAGCGUUAUCCGGAUUUAUUGGGUUUAAAGGGAGCGUAGGUGGAUUGUUAAGUCAGUUGUGAAAGUUUGCGGCUCAACCGUAAAAUUGCAGUUGAAACUGGCAGUCUUGAGUACAGUAGAGGUGGGCGGAAUUCGUGGUGUAGCGGUGAAAUGCUUAGAUAUCACGAAGAACUCCGAUUGCGAAGGCAGUUCACUGGACUGCAACUGACACUGAGGCUCGAAAGUGUGGGUAUCAAACAGGAUUAGAUACCCUUGUAGUC
rnacentral:rRNA from 1 species